GGAGGGCGAAUGGCCGCAUACGUAACAUAGCAGUCGAACGAUGAAGCCUAGCUUGCUAGGUGGAUUAGUGGCGAACGGGUGAGUAAUACGUGAGUAACCUACCUUUAACUCUGGGAUAAGCCUGGGAAACUGGGUCUAAUACCGGAUACGACCAAUCUCCGCAUGGGGUGUUGGUGGAAAGCGUUAUGUAGUGGUUAUAGAUGGGCUCACGGCCUAUCAGCUUGUUGGUGAGGUAACGGCUCACCAAGGCGACGACAGGUAGCCGGCCUGAGAGGGUGACCGGCCACACUGGGACUGACACACGGCCCAGACUCCUACGGGAGGCAGCAGUGGGGAAUAUUGCACAAUGGGCGCAAGCCUGAUGCAGCGACGCCGCGUGAGGGAUGACGGCCUUCGGGUUGUAAACCUCUGUUAGCAGGGAAGAAGAGAGAUUGACGGUACCUGCAGAGAAAGCGCCGGCUAACUACGUGCCAGCAGCCGCGGUAAUACGUAGGGCGCGAGCGUUGUCCGGAAUUAUUGGGCGUAAAGAGCUUGUAGGCGGUUUGUCGCGUCUGCUGUGAAAGGCCGGGGCUUAACCCCGUGUAUUGCAGUGGGUACGGGCAGACUAGAGUGCAGUAGGGGAGACUGGAAUUCCUGGUGUAGCGGUGGAAUGCGCAGAUAUCAGGAGGAACACCGAUGGCGAAGGCAGCUCUCUGGGCUGUAACUGACGCUGACAAGCGAAAGCAUGGGGAGCGAACAGGAUUAGAUACCCUGGUAGUCCAUGCCGUAAACGUUGGGACUACGUGUGGGGGACAUUCACGGUUUCCGCGCCGUACUUACGCAUUA
rnacentral:rRNA from 1 species